GAACAGGUGGCCCCAGCAGCGAGUGACAGCCAGUGUCCAUGGUUGGGGACAGCGGGAUGGCCGGGAAGGUGGCGCUGCUCCUGUGGGCCCAGACCCUCGGCCUCGCUGGUGAGUCCUCGGGGGAUGCCAUGUCCCUGCCCCGCUGUCCCCAGCCCCGUGGUGGCCCUGGCAGGCUGGUGUCCCCUGUCACCCGCAGAUGCCCAGACUCCCCAGCAGACCCUGUCUGCUCUUGGAGUGUCUGCCCCAUCCACGCUGGAACCCAGGAGUUGGAAACUGUCUUGGGUUAAAACAGAAACGUCUACUGAGGAAAGCAGGAACCUUCCUGAAAUGGAAAGACGAUCCGUCCCUCCAAUUUGUGAUAACUGUGAAAAUAAUGGGGCUUCAAGACAAAAACGUAAUAAAAGCAAUAACAGUUCAUUGCUAGGAAAUUGAUAGAACAGAAGAGAACAAACAGCAAUAUCAGAACAGAAAUUUCCAACCCGGUCAGGGCUGUUUGUUCAUCUUUGGUGCAGUUCUGGGCACGGCCAGCAGGGGGCGGUGCAGGGAGCACUCCCGGCCAGCAGGGAACGCUGCAGGGAGCACUCCCGACCAGCAGGGGGCGCUGCAGGGAGCACUCCCGGCCAGCAGGGGGCGCUGCAGGGAGCACUCCCGGCCAACAGGGGGCACUGCAGGGAGCACUCCCGGCCAGCAGGGGUUGCCCCGGUGCCAGCUCCAACCCCUCAGGGGCCAUGGCGGCCUCGGCACCGCAGGGAAGUCGGUGACAGUGCUACCCCCUGCACUUUUGUGCUUGGCAUCAUGUGCCAGCAGCAGAGUUGGCAGCAGCGACAGCUGGGAUCCUCUCACAGCAGCGGGAACAGCGGAGGAAGGGAUCCCCCUGUCGCCCCAGGAACAGAGACGGAUUCUGCCCCUGUGGAUCUUGAUGGCCUCAGGGGACACUGUGCCGUGGGGUGACCCAAAGCCAUGUGCUGCUGUGGCUCUGCUGUGCCAGGCCAUGGAUCCACACAGCCCGAGGGAUCCCAGUGUCCCUUUGGCCCAUCUGGCAGGAGCCAGGGACCCUCCAGCCCUGGUCAUGGCACUCUCUGAUCACUCCUUGUAAAUAUGACCUGGAGGUCCCUUCCAGAGGAUGGGAAGUAACAUCAUCCCUUCUGUUGAUGAGAACUUCCCCACAGGAGACUGGAGCAGAUUUAUCCUUGUAAAAUGUCCUGUGGUGGUUGUUGUUCCUUUCAACUCACAUCCCUGUGCUGCUAGGGCACAGGUGGGUUUUCCAUCCCAUUUCUUCUCCAUGGUCCUGUUGGUAAAACCACAGGUUUGGGAGCUCUGGGAGGAGGAGGAGAGCAGAGCAAGAGCCCUGUGGAAAACACCGCUCAGAAAAUGUAAUUUAUUGGAAAAUUCAGUCAAUAGAUGUGCUGGUUUGAAAGUAUACUAGUGAGAGAAA